rnacentral:rRNA from 1 species
GACGAACGCUGGCGGCGUGCUUAACACAUGCAAGUCGAACGGAAAGGCCCUGCUUUUGUGGGGUGCUCGAGUGGCGAACGGGUGAGUAACACGUGAGUAACCUGCCCUUGACUUUGGGAUAACUUCAGGAAACUGGGGCUAAUACCGGAUAGGAGCUCCUGCUGCAUGGUGGGGGUUGGAAAGUUUCGGCGGUUGGGGAUGGACUCGCGGCUUAUCAGCUUGUUGGUGGGGUAGUGGCUUACCAAGGCUUUGACGGGUAGCCGGCCUGAGAGGGUGACCGGCCACAUUGGGACUGAGGUACGGGCCAGACUCCUACGGGAGGCAGCAGUGGGGAAUCCUGCACAAUGGGCGGAAGCCUGAUGCAGCAACGCCGCGUGCGGGAUGACGGCCUUCGGGUUGUAAACCGCUUUCGCCUGUGACGAAGCGUGAGUGACGGUAAUGGGUAAAGAAGCACCGGCUAACUACGUG